GGCGGACCACCGCUCAAUCGCCGCACGGCGAAUCGGGGAACCACCUUGAAAAGGGGUGAAUCCGCAGAGCCUUGCGGUAGGGAUCGCUUCCGUCCCGAACCCGUCAGCUAACCCGGUAGGCGGCAACACGGAAGGAAA
rnacentral:sRNA from 2 species